rnacentral:rRNA from 1 species
AAUGAACGCUGGCGGCGCGCCUAAUACAUGCAAGUCGAGCGAGAAGACGUAGCAAUACGUUUGUAAAGCGGCGAACGGGUGAGGAAUACAUGGGUAACCCACCCUCGAGUGGGGAAUAACUAGCCGAAAGGUUAGCUAAUACCGCGUACGCUCCUUGGACUUCGGUUCAGGGAGGAAAGCGAUACCGUGGGUAUCGCGCUCUUGGAUGGGCUCAUGUCCUAUCAGCUUGUUGGGAGGUAACGGCUCACCAAGGCUUCGACGUGUAGCUGGUCUGAGAGGACGAUCAGCCACACUGGCACUGCGACACGGGCCAGACUCCUACGGGAGUAGCAGUAAGGAAUAUUGCGCAAUGGGCGAAAGCCUGACGCAGCGACGCCGCGUGGGGGAUGAAGGUC